rnacentral:rRNA from 1 species
GCAAGUCGAACGCGAAAGGGACUUCGGUCCUGAGUAAAGUGGCGCACGGGUGAGUAACGCGUAGAUAACCUGUCUUCAUGUCUGGAAUAAUACGCCGAAAGGGGUACUAAUACCGGAUAUUCUUGCUUUUCAUAAGUUAUGCAAGCAAAGGUGGCCUCUGCAUAUGCUACUGCAUGAAGAGGGGUCUGCGUACCAUUAGCUAGUAGGUGGGGUAAUGGCCUACCUAGGCGACGAUGGUUAGCGGGUCUGAGAGGAUGAUCCGCCACACUGGCACUGGAACACGGGCCAGACUCCUACGGGAGGCAGCAGUGAGGAAUAUUGCGCAAUGGGGGAAACCCUGACGCAGCGACGCCGCGUGAAGUGAGGAAGGCCUUCGGGUCGUAAAGCUCUGUCAAGAGGAAAGAAGUGUACAAUGGCUAAUACCUGUUGUAUUUGACGGUACCUCUAAAGGAAGCACCGGCUAACUCCGUGCCAGCAGCCGC